ACAAAAUAAUUAUCUACCAAACUUAUUUUAUGCUCGUUUCAUGCCAAUGUAAUGGGGCCUAAUGGGUGUCAUUAUGCGUUAGCUUUAGAACAUGAUGUUAAUGUUACAGGAAAGCUUAAGUGCAUGAAAUGCAUGAAUUACAUUAAACACACGUCUUAACACUGUUGCGGAAUUAUCAUUUCCUUGUUGUUUUGUUGAUGUCACAUGUUGGGUGUGCAUGCCUUCUAAUUGGU
rnacentral:lncRNA from 1 species